GAGGGUCUAGCUCAGUGAUAGCGUGUCUGCUUGGCAUGCAGGAAGCCCUGGGUUCAAUCCUCAGUACCUCCA
rnacentral:tRNA from 1 species